AGCGUUGAUUGUCUUUUCACUGAAAUUUGUUUAUUGCGUCGUAAGCUAUCCGUUUCUUUUUUGGAUCAUAUAAAAUUGUCCAUGCCGAUUAGAAGCAGCUUCAGUAAGCCAACAAAAGGGAGACACAUUCAUUGUUUCGAGUUCCUUCUAGUAUAGAGUUGGAACCGUUUGCUUCUCGUGUGUGAAAGCAUGACCGUGGGGAACUCCUAAAUUGUUACCCCAUACAAAACCAUGAAUGGCAUCUUGAUCCGGAUCCGGCGCAAUGGAUUCGCCAGCACGCUAACCUAAAAAUCGACACAUUACGAGCCACAACCCAGUUUUUAACAUACUCGAUUUAAGCUACGUGUCGUUUAGCAUGCUCAUUUAAAAGUAUGGUUCUAAUAAAUGCAUCGUUCACCCAUGAACAAGCUACAAUCGAGUAUUUUCGGUUUUUGACAGUAUCCUGUACGCAAAACAAGGUAGUUGACACUGCACGACCACCUAUUUUUAGAACAGUGAGACGCGUAUCAAUGGGAAGUUACGUAGUCAAGCUUAGCAACAAUAAGUUAAAUAUUGUUUCAGUGGUGCUUCUGGUUUCACAUCGAAGGGCAGACUUCCACCGCAAGUUAGCGAUUCGCGGACGACGUACCCCCCAACCUUCAUGCACAGCGGAGUAUUCUACCAGUAUGAUACAUCCACCACUUUGUUUGUAUACCAGUCCCCCAUCAUGAUGGCUCAUCGUUAUAUAAUGUAAACAAACAGUGUAUUUUCGACGUUCACUUCGUUUUUUCUUCUUCCUGCCGAGGUCAAAGAUCUACCUAAUUUCGGAUAUCUGUGCUGUGCCUAGUGUGGCCUUCUUGCCUAAUCAACUGCUUGAAGACGACUUGCAAAAUUGCAAAACCCUUCGACCAAAACCCCGUCUUGGGCGUGCAGCAAACACUUUACUCCGGACGAUCAUUUCAGGACGAUAAGGACCACUCGAAGCCAUUUUAAAACUACCCGAAGAGUAGGCCUGCAUCUAUACGGCAAUUACGAGCCACCCUAGACCCAUAAGAUUUAUGAAAAGGUCAUAGGUCUGGGUCUUCUAUAGUGAAGAGCAUAGAGAAACUCGGCCAAGUCGAAACUCGAAUCAAAGCCACUAAAGCCGCUUUGCAAACCCUGCAAUAGGAGGUUCGUUUAUAUGCACCAUAUCCUUCAGGCCCCACGUAAGCAGAUUAACCAUAUUCGUGAUUCACUGGCAAAUUGAAAUUCAUAACAAUGUACCCCACACUGAGAAGAAUUUCGAAAAAAUCUACAAAUUUUGAUGAGAGAUUUCGCAAGAAAUCAUAUAGAGAAUAUAGUGAGUUGAUAAGGAUUCGAGGUAAUGUUAAAGCUUGGGUUAAAUUCUGAGCCAGGUAGCAAUUUAGUCACAUUUUAUUCAAGCGAUUAUACAUAAAAUGUCUCAGUGCAAAAAGGCCUGGGUCAAAAUUAAAAAAAUCGAUUUUUAUGUACGGUGCCUAAUGACAGAAUCAAGUAGUUUUUUUUGCGCCAGUUCUAUCUCUAGGCUUACUUUUGCAAAUCGGCUUUUGUGCCUCCGCGUGAACAGCGUGUGUUGAACCUGGUCUAAGCUCGUUUGCAUUAAAUGUCCUAGCUUUGUCUAUUUGUACCGAAUUUUUAGCCAAAUUUUGAAGCCCUCAUGGUGCAAACCUUCUGGAGCGUGCUCUCUAGCUGACGAGGACAUCGAGAGGCUUCGCAGGGUUCGGUAUGUAUGUGUACUAGGGACUGCAUGCAAGAAAAGAAUGCGUUUGUGAACCUCGGUGUUCAUAGGCGAAGAUGAAUCAGCUUUUUACUUGUGGUCCUUGUAGGCCAUCUGAAAGUAGCUGUAACUGUCCGGAUUAUUGUUGAAACCUAUUUGAUCCGGCCAAAAAAUACUAACGUAAAAACGACAAGCCUCGAAAAACUCUAUUUCAUACAAAGAAUGUUCCGAUAAACAAUAAGAUACUAAACCUGGUAUAUUUCAUCCUAAUAAAAGUAAAGAUUAGAAAAGAUAAUAGAAAAACAUUAAUGGAUAAACUAAAGCUAAUAGCUAUGAACU